UCUGGGACUAGACAUCUGAAGAUUGAACACCUGCAUUGGGAGAUACACUCCUUGGAUCAGGCAUUCAUUUUGGAUCUUAACAUGAGCACAACAUGAAGCUUCCCCACGUGUGCCUGAAAUCUGUUUCUGUCUUCAAGAUUUUGUAUUCACCUCGCCAGUGUUUAAUCUUUUUUCAUCUAUCUAGGGUACCACCAUGACACUAUUUAGAAUGUUCAGCCCCUUGUUUAUCUCAGAAGUUGUGCUGACUUUCAACUAUUCUAUUAAAGUGUUGCACUUAUCUGUUUAAAUAAUAAAACACAUGUAUGGAAUAA